AUUACACUGUCCACUAUACCAUAUUUAAAAAAAUAGAAUUUAAAAUAUUUGAUCCGAUAAAUCAAAUAUGGAAGUCUCCACUUUGAAUUUGGUGCCUCUGGCAGCUUGAACUUGAAGGUGUGCCAUGUGUUACCUGCAAUGAUGUGUCCAUUUACAAACAUAGUUAGCNNNNNNNNNNNNNNNNNNNNNNNNNNNNNNNNNNNNNCAUUGAAAGUUAAAAUGUUUAUUAAAGUUAAAAGUUAAAAUGUUUAAUCAAGAAACAUACAUACAUGCUUAUUAUAGUUGCAGCCACAUGAUUAUGUGGUUAAAAAUUAUGCAGGCCGGAUCUUGGAGUUAUAACAGAACUGAAAAGUGGUUCCAAGUGCUCUUUAAUUUGUAAAAACAUUUUCAAAGUUAAUUCAAGAAUAUUACUUUCAUCAAAGAGAAUGAAACAAUGGUAACACUUUCUCAGCCCUGUCAUAAACAAUCCAGUUUAGAAUACAAUCUAAAAGGCUCAUUUGCAUUAUGUAAGUGCUCACAUCCAAAUCCAUCAAAUUUCAUUCAAGCACUUUCCACAUUUUCAUUUACUGUUGCCCAAUUUAUGAUCUUUUUUUUAAUAUCAGAAAACUGAUAAUUGAAUGCCCAAUAAUUUCAAGAAACUAAAAAUUAGGUAAAUAAUCUUUUUACUUGAUAAUAGAUUAGGGAAAUCUCCGAAUAAUGUAGAGAAGUUCAAAAAACCAUUUCAGGAUCAACAACAAUGAACUUAGAAAAGAGGAUUCACCCAUUUAAGAACCACCAAAAUCAUUACCAAAUCCUCAUUUACAAAUUAAGACAUUGGCAACUGCAACAUACAGAGCAACAUAGCAUCAAUGAGAUUGGUAGCAGAAUCAAAUCAAACAAAUAAAGAACCAUAGAAGCUUAAUCAUCACUAUAUAAGCACUUUGGCUUUUAUGUUCCAACACUAUUUACUUGAGUGCUUGCAAAGUGAAGUCUUUCUUUUAAGUGAGGCCUUAAAUAUUCAAAGUGAAAAAAAAAAACCAUUCAUAAAUUUAUAAGAAAGCGAAACUUAUAGAAAUAUUCAUAAACUAAAAAUAAUAUAAGAAUUAGUUUUUGCAUCAAUCAACAUUUCAUAUAAUAUAUAUGCAUAAAUUGUGAUCCAAUGAAUCACCAAUAAAAAUCACAAUGCAACUUCGUAAAGGUAAUCAACAGUUACAACAUAACUACAUGUCUUUUCUCAAUGCAUAUUUAUCUCAUGAAUGACAAUUAACUUAAACAGAAUAAAAAAUCACAACUUUGAUAUAUAGUUAAAUAGUUAAAUUCAUAUGAAUGAAAGAUCUAUAUAAUUGAUGUACGAUAAGAAACUAAUAGAAGUUGGAAUCAGCUUGUUUCUUUCAAUGUGGUCAUGUUAAGUAGGUAAUUACAUUGAUUAAAAACUAUACCAUAAACAGAUUAGUGGAGAGUACACACACUUCUUUGAUAUAACUUUUUUAAGCUUAUGUAUUAAAAUAAUGAACAAAGUGAAAGCAUUAGACACUUCCAUCUGCACAUGAAUUAAAAGCAUUUCAGAGCCAAAGGUUUCAAAAUAAAUAAAGAACCAUAAAUGUAUUAUAAGCAUAAGUCUAUAACCUUACUUCUUUCUUUGAGAAGCAUGCAAUCCCUCAAAAUUAGGACCUCGAGCAAAUUUCUACCAAUGCAGCUGCCAAGUUUCCUGAGAGAAGAAUUCAACUAACAAAUUUAGGACCAGUAUAAGAAAGAAACACACCACUAUAAGAACCCAGCAGACCACCUCUAAAAGAAGCUUCAUGUAAAUAACAAAUCAAAAUAAGAAAAAAUAUAGUAGUUAUCAAACUCUAAUUCUAAAACAAAAAAGUAAAGC
rnacentral:lncRNA from 1 species